rnacentral:tRNA from 2 species
UCGGGGGUGGUGUAAUUGGUAACACGACAGGUUCUGGCCCUGUUAUUGAGGGUUCGAGUCCUUCCCCCCGAGCCA